rnacentral:rRNA from 1 species
AUUGAACGCUGGCGGCAGGCCUAACACAUGCCAGUCGAACGGUAACAGGAAGCAGCUUGCUGCUUUGCUGACGAGUGGCGGACGGGUGAGUAAUGUCUGGGAAACUGCCUGAUGGAGGGGGAUAACUACUGGAAACGGUAGCUAAUACCGCAUAACGUCUCAAGACCAAAGAGGGGGACCUUCGGGCGCCUUGGCUGGGGAUGUGCCCAGGUUGGAUUAGCUAGCUGGUGGAGUAGUGGCUCACCUAGGCGACGACGGGUAGCUGGCCUGAGAGGAUGACCGGCAAAAGGGGGACUGAGAUACGGCCCAGACGACUAGGGGAGGCAGCAGUGGGGAAUAUGGAACAAUGGGCGGAAGCCGGAUGCAGCAACGCUGGGUGCGGGAUGACGGCCGUCGGGUGGUAAACCGCUGUCGCCGGGGACGAAGCGUGAGUGACGGGAACGGGUAAAGAAGCACCGGCUAACUACGUG